GACGAACGCUGGCGGCGUGCUUAACACAUGCAAGUCGAACGAGUGGCGGACGGGUGAGUAAUGCUUGGGAAUCUGGCUUAUGGAGGGGGAUAACGACUGGAAACGGUCGCUAAUACCGCGUACCAUCGGAUGAGCCCAAGUGGGAUUAGGUAGUUGGUGGGGUAAUGGCCCACCAAGCCGACGAUCCCUAGCUGGUCUGAGAGGAUGACCAGCCACACCGGGACUGAGACACGGUCCGGACUCCUACGGGAGGCAGCAGUGGGGAAUAUUGCACAAUGGGGGCAACCCUGAGGCAGCCAUGCCGCGUGUAUGAAGAAGGCCUUCGGGUUGUAAAGUUCUUUCGGUGAGGAGGCGUUAAUCGCAGAAGAAGCACCGGCUAACUCCGUGCCAGCAGCCGCGGUAAUAC
rnacentral:rRNA from 1 species